UGGCCGUCGUCAGUUCGUACUGUGAAGCAUCCUGUUAAGUCAGGCAACGAGCGAGACCCACGCCAACAGUUGCUAGCUCGUCCUCCGGGAUGGAGAGGACACUGUUGGGACCGCCUCUGCUAAAGAGGAGGAAGGAAUGGGCAACGGUAGGUCAGCAUGCCCCGAAUUAUCUGGGCUACACGCGGGCUACAAUGGGUGGGACAAUGGGUAUCGACACCGAAAGGUGAAGGCAAUCUCCUAAACCCAUCCUUAGUUCGGAUUGUGGGUUGCAACUCACCCACAUGAAGCUGGAAUCCGCAGUAAUCGUGUCUCAAAAUGGCACGGUGAAUAUGUCCCUGCUCCUUGCACACACC
rnacentral:rRNA from 1 species